rnacentral:rRNA from 1 species
CUACACGGCGACGUGAUGCUAAUCCCGAAAGCCUCUCUCAGUUCGGAUCGGAGUCUGCAACCCGACUCCGUGAAGCUGGAUUCGCUAGUAAUCGCGCAUCAGCCAUGGCGCGGUGAAUACGUUCCCGGGCCUUGUACACACCGCCCGUCAAGCCAUGGAAGCCGGGGGUGCCUGAAGUGUGCAGCCGCAAGGAGCGCCCUAAGGUAAAACCGGUGACUGGGGCUAAGUCGUAACAAGGUACC